GACACUCAAAUUUUGGUUAAAUCAAAAUGCUAUUCAAAAUCUGAAUUGAAUACAAAAGUCCUGUUGCACAUCUACAAAUGUGUGGACGUCAUCGAUUGCAUAAAUCUAGCUGGAACAUACCUUCGACUCAGGGACGUGGCUAAGCUGCACUACCAACGAUACACGGCUUUCAAUUUGUACAACUUUUUGCUUCUUUUCGGUCGAUCAAAGCGACACAAUCGUAUCGGUGCAGUGAUAGUCCUGAGAUGCAUUGGCGCCUCUAUUUCGGCGCUUGUGGCUGAUUUGGACGAGAAUGCGAUCGGAGCUGGUGUAGCCGCAUCGAUCCGGAAAUACUGUCGCAACGUGAAAUCGCUUAAAAUUGUCGAUAGAAAUGGCAAGAGGAAUCCGUACACGGCAUAUUC